rnacentral:rRNA from 1 species
UACGUAGGGGGGCGAGCGUUGUCCGGAUUUAUUGGGCGUAAAGAGCGUGUAGGCGGCCAGGUAGGUCAGCUGUGAAAACUCGAGGCUCAACCUCGAGAUGUCGGCUGAAACCAUCUGGCUAGAGUCCGGAAGAGGAGAAUGGAAUUCCCGGUGUAGCGGUGAAAUGCGCAGAUAUCGGGAAGAACACCCGUGGCGAAGGCGGUUCUCUGGGACGGUACUGACGCUGGAGACGCGAAAAGCGUGGGGGAG